rnacentral:lncRNA from 1 species
GGAAAAAGGAGAAGGGAAGGGGCGGGUGUAACGUCGGGAACUCCGAAGCUCUAGAGUCCGGGAGGCGCCAGCUGCGGCUCGAGCACUAGGUUUCCCCGAAGCCUGAGCCCUGGGGAUGAGAAAGCGGUCGCGGGACCCGGGGUGCGGGAUGUAGGUGUCCACCGCUCUUGGCUGGGGGCUUCACGUCACUCCGGGUCCUCCCCGCCGGUCCUGCCAUAUUAGGGCUUCCUGCUUUCCAUAUAUGGCCAUGUACGUCACGACGGAGGCGGAUCCGUACUGUUCCAGACCCUUCAAAUAGAGGCGGAUCCGGGGAGUCGCGAGAGAUCCCAGCGCGCAGAACUUGGGGAGCCGCCGCCGCCGUCCGCUACCCGCCGCUGCCAGCUUCCGCCGCCGUCGCAGGACCGGCCCCUGCCCCAGCCUCCGCAGCAGCGCCGCGUCCACACCAGCCCGCGGCGAAGGCGAACCUGGGGAUUCCACUUGCGUUCUCCCCAGUGCACCCCACACCCCGCAUGUGACCUGGCUAGUCCCCCGCAAGUGUGUCCCCCCGGCGGCUCCAUCCCCGGGCUGCGCCCACCCGCCCCAACACCGGCUCUCCAGCCCGCUCGUUCGGGAUGGCCGCGGCCAAGGCCGAGAUGCAGCUGAUGUCUCCGCUGCAGAUCUCCGACCCAUUCGGCUCUUUUCCUCACUCGCCCACCAUGGACAACUACCCCAAGCUGGAGGAGAUGAUGCUGCUGAGCAACGGGGCACCCCAAUUUCUCGGUGCUGCCGGGGUCCCAGAGGGCAACGGCAGUAGCAACAGCAGCAGCAGCAGCGGGGGCGGUGGAGGUGGAGGGGGCGGCAGCAACAGCAGCAGCAACAGCAGCGCCUUCAACCCUCAGGGGGAGCCAGGCGAGCAGCCCUAUGAGCACCUGACCGCAGGUAAGCAGUGGCCUAGCCAACGACGAGCCCCCUUGUCUACUACCAUUCUGACGGCCAAUCCUUCACCGCAGGAGUGCUCCCAUACCACAGGGAUGCAAUCGGGGUUUCCCUUCCAUUCGCGCAUCUCCAGGGGCAUGUGUUAGAAGGAAGCCCGGAGACAACCCCCAUCCUCGACCCUAGUGGUGCGCAGAAGACUGAGCUUUUGGAUGGAGAGCUCUAGAGCUGCGUGGGUGGGUGGAGAGGGGGAGGGCUUGUUUUGAUGAGCAGUGCUGGGCCCCCAUCCCCCUCCUGAAAGGCUAGCCUUGCCUACUGCCUGUCCCCAAGGAAGGGCCGAGAUUUGUGGCCUGGGAUGUCCCGGCAGCCCAGGGUAGGGGGCGCGCACUAGCCCUGGCCAUGGGGGGUGCUGGCGGGAAUCCCUCACCCGCGCAGCCGCUGCUGCGGAGCGCUGGGAGCUGCAGUGGAGGGGGAUUCUCCGUAUUUGCGUCAGCUGUUGAAACGGGCUCUGCCACUGGAGCAGGUCCAGGAACAUUGCAAUCUGCUGCUAUCAAUUAUUAACCAGCUCAGGAGUCAAUGGUAGCCUGCCGACCUCUUGCCUGGCAGCUCGAGUCCUCCUUGUUCUCCAGUGAUUGUUCUCCAGUAACCAGGCCUCUCCCCUUUCUCUCUCCUGCCAGAGUCUUUUCCUGACAUCUCCCUGAACAAUGAGAAGGUGAUGGUAGAGACAAGUUACCCCAGCCAAACCACUCGGCUGCCCCCCAUCACCUACACUGGCCGCUUCUCUCUGGAGCCUGCACCCAACAGUGGCAACACCUUGUGGCCUGAGCCCCUCUUCAGUCUAGUUAGUGGCCUGGUGAGCAUGACCAACCCACCGGCCUCCUCAUCUUCAGCACCAUCUCCAGCGGCUUCCUCCUCUUCCUCUGCCUCCCAGAGCCCACCACUCAGCUGCGCAGUGCCAUCCAAUGACAGCAGUCCCAUUUACUCAGCGGCACCCACCUUCCCCACGCCCAACACUGACAUUUUCCCUGAGCCACAAGGCCAGGCCUUUCCGGGCUCUGCAGGCACAGCACUUCAGUACCCGCCUCCUGCCUACCCUGCUGCCAAGGGUGGCUUCCAGGUUCCCAUGAUCCCCGACUACCUGUUUCCACAGCAGCAAGGAGACCUGGGCCUGGGCACCCCAGAUCAGAAGCCCUUCCAGGGCCUAGAGAGCCGUACCCAGCAGCCUUCACUUACUCCACUCUCUACUAUAAAGGCCUUUGCCACUCAGUCGGGCUCGCAGGACCUAAAGGCCCUCAAUACCACCUACCAGUCCCAGCUCAUCAAACCAAGCCGCAUGCGCAAGUACCCCAACCGACCCAGCAAGACGCCCCCUCACGAACGCCCUUAUGCCUGCCCAGUGGAGUCUUGUGAUCGCAGGUUCUCCCGUUCUGACGAGCUCACUCGCCACAUCCGCAUCCACACAGGCCAGAAGCCCUUCCAGUGUCGCAUUUGCAUGCGCAACUUCAGCCGCAGUGACCAUCUUACCACUCACAUUCGCACCCACACAGGCGAGAAGCCCUUUGCCUGUGACAUCUGUGGGAGAAAGUUUGCCAGGAGUGACGAGAGGAAGAGGCAUACCAAGAUCCACUUGCGGCAGAAGGACAAGAAAGCAGACAAAAGUGUUGUGGCCUCUUCGGCCACCUCCUCCCUUUCUUCCUACUCAUCCCCAGUUGCUACCUCUUACCCAUCCCCUGUCACUACCUCUUACCCAUCCCCUGCCACCACCUCAUACCCAUCUCCAGUGCCCACUUCCUACUCCUCUCCUGGCUCCUCAACCUAUCCAUCCCCUGUGCACAGUGGCUUCCCCUCACCCUCUGUGGCCACCACCUAUGCCUCGGUUCCCCCUGCAUUCCCCACCCAGGUCAGCAGCUUCCCUUCCUCGGCUGUCACCAACUCCUUCAGCGCCUCCACAGGUCUUUCGGACAUGACUGCAACCUUUUCUCCCAGGACAAUUGAAAUUUGCUGAAGGAAAAAUGAAAACAAAGGGAAAGGGAGAAAAAAGAAACACAAGAGACAUAAAGGACAGCAGGAGGAGAUGGUUGAGAAAGAGGGGGAAUCUCCUAGAUGGAGGUUCUCAGAGCCAAGUCCUCCCUCUCUACUCAGAGUGGAAGGUCUGUUGGCCAACAAUCCUUUCUUCCUGAUUCCCCUUCCUCCCUAAUUCCUGUUCCCUUUGACUUCAGCUGCCUGAAACAGCCAUGUCCAAGUUCUUCACCUCUAUCCAAAGAACUUGAUUUGCAUGGAUAUUGGAUAAAUCAUUUCAGUAUCAUCUCCAUCGUAUGCCUGACCCCUUGCUCCCUUCAAUGCUAGAAAAUUGAGUUGGCAAAAUGGGGUUUGGGCCCCGUAGAGCCCUGCCCUGUACCCUUGUACAGUGUCUGUGCCAUGGAUUUUGUUUUUCUUGGGGUACUCUUGAUGUGAAGAUAAUUUGCAUAUUCUAUUGUAUUUGGAGUUAGAUUCUCACUUGGGGUGGGGGGGAAGAAAAGCCAAGCAAACCAAUGGUGAUCCUCUAUUUUGUGAUGAUGCUGUGACAAUAAGUUUGGAGCUUUUUUGAAACAGCAGUCCUAGGUAUUAAUCAGAGCAUGUGUCAGAGUGUUGUUCCGUUAACCUUUUUGUAAAUAUUGCUCGACUGUACUCUCACAUGUGGCAAAAUAUGGUUUGGUUUUUCUUUUCUUUUGAAAAUUUUCUUCCGUCCUCUUGGUUUAAAAAGUUUCACGUCUUGGUGCCUUUUGUGUGAUGCGCCUUGCUGAUGGCUUGACAUGUGCAAUUGUGAGGGACAUGCUCACCUCUAGCCUUAAGGGGGGCAGGGAGUGCUGAUUUGGGGGAGGCUUUGGGAGCAAAAUAAGAAAGAGGGCUGAGCUGAGCCUUGGUUCUCCAGAAUGUAAGAAAACAAUCUAAAACAAAAUCUGAACUCUCAAAAGUCUAUUUUUUUAACUGAAAAUGUAAAUUUAUACAUAUAUUCAGGAGUUGGAAUGUUGUAGUUACCUACUGAGUAGGCGGCAAUUUUUGUAUGUUAUGAACAUGCAGUUCAUUAUUUUGUGGUUUAUUUUACUUUGUACUUGUGUUUGCUUAAACAAAGUGACUGUUUGGCUUAUAAACACAUUGAAUGCGCUUUAUUGCCCAUGGGAUAUGUGGUGUAUAUCCUUCAGAAAAAUUAAAAGGAAAAUAAAGUAGAUGUGA